AUGGAACUGGUUUUCUUGACAAGGGUUCCCAAACAAUGGAUGUUUGUGUGUCUGGUUCUUCCACAUUUGCAGGGAUCGCAUUUGGAUGCGUGUGCAAGCUGUGCUGUAGCCACCUCAGGUCCUGAAUCUUUAGGACUUGCUGGAGCUCAUUGCUGGUCUAUUUUGGCAGAAUGGGAACUGAUACACACACCCAGGCAGAGAGGUGUGUCGGGAUCCAGCUCACACACCUGGACACUCACAAAGGCCUGCGAUGAUCAGGAUUUCUUUCUCUGCAGAAGCUCAGUCAAAACUUCUCAAGGAUGCAAAGUGUAGAGUCAGGAAGGCCUGGAGAGAGAACCUUGUGUGCUGUGGACUGUGGGCAGACUCAGGGCAUCAGCUGAGCAGUGUUAAAGCAGCCACUCAUGGCAUUAAAACUGUGUCCCCGAGCCAGAACACUAUAGAGUUUUAAAGCUCACAAAGACCUGUGCCAAGCUCCAUCACAGUGAGGCAUCAGUCAGUCUUUGGUUCUUUCCUGGUUAGGAACGAUCAUGUUUUGGGAAAUGAAGAAGAAGGAAGUUGGGGGGCUAUCUGGAAAGCUUCCCUAGAGCCUGAGAACUUGGACUUAGUGUCACCUUAUGAUGAAAAUGGAGUCUGAAAACAAAAUGGCAGUACGUAGGACAAGUCUCACGUAUUUGAUCCCAAGUCCUCCAAGUAGAGAGGAAGCUUCAGCCCCGGAAGUGCUGUCUGGGCUGCAGAGGGAGGCUGCAAACAGAGAGCACGUGCCCCGGGAAGGGGGUGCAGGCUGCCUGGGGCUUGCUAUGCAGCCCAGAAUGACCUUGAACUCAGCAGUUUUUCUGUUUCCGUUACUUUUUUUUUUUUUUUAAUUUGCUGUUUCUAUUAGCAGACAAUUAACACUGAUAAAAUACCCACCAUCCAACUUCAUAACUGAGUGGAAACAGGACCACAUUAUCUAGAGGAAUUUAUGGGACUGAGAAGUCUUACAUCUCCUUCUAUCUAGGGGUGGGGGUGGGGGUGGGUGAAGAAAAAAAAGUGAAAACAACAAGCUAACGUUAUAGAGGAUUUACCAAUAAACCUGCUUAGAAAAUACGAAGUUUUAUAGAA
rnacentral:lncRNA from 1 species